rnacentral:lncRNA from 1 species
UAUAAUGAUCUGUUUUAUAUAUAAUGAUAUAGUCCAUGCAACAAAAGUAUCUAUAAAAAAAAAUGAAAAUUUAAUUAAAAAUAACGUUUUAGAGUCGGGGUUAGUCAGCUACUUAGUUUUCAAACAACAAGUUUAUAUAUUGAAGGGGCUAGAAGAAAAAUAAAAUUAUAAUAGCUAUGGGUGCUUGUUUUUCAAGAUACAUAGAUAUAUAUUGAAUUUUGUUUGGAAAGUAUAUUUAUGAUACAAAACGUAAUAAAAUUUAGCAUUAAGGAUUCAUAAGAUAAUUAACAAAUUACAUUUUGUAUUACAUGUAGAUAAAAAGAUUUUAAGAAAAAGAAAAAUUAUGAAUUGUGGGCAUAUUCGAUUCAAAUUGAAAGAAACAGAACAUUCUAUAACUCGAUAAACAUUUCAAAACUUUUGCAGCUAACACCCUCAAGCAAAUGCAUACACAUUUUCAAUGGUUUUAUUACAUUUGAAAUAUGUAAAUAAUAUAUAUUUAUAAAUUAUUUUUUACAAUACAGUUAAAGAAAUUUGCUUUUUGCAGUUUAUCUUAAUUUUAUCUUCAAUA